rnacentral:rRNA from 1 species
AUGUUUAAGUCAGUUGUGAAAGUUUGCGGCUCAACCGUAAAAUUGCAGUUGAUACUGGAUAUCUUGAGUGCAGUUGAGGCAGGCGGAAUUCGUGGUGUAGCGGUGAAAUGCUUAGAUAUCACGAAGAACUCCGAUUGCGAAGGCAGCCUGCUAAGCUGCAACUGACAUUGAGGCUCGAAAGUGUGGGUAUCAAACAGGAUUAGAUACCCUGGUAGUCCACACGGUAAACGAUGAAUACUCGCUGUUUGCGAUAUACUGCAAGCGGCCAAGCGAAAGCGUUAAGUAUUCCACCUGGGGAGUACGCCGGCAACGGUGAAACUCAAAGGAAUUGACGGAGGCCCGCACAAGCGGAGGAACAUGUGGUUUAAUUCGAUGAUACGCGAGGAACCUUACCCGGGCUUAAAUUGCAGAUGAAUUACGGUGAAAGCCGUAAGCCGCAAGGCAUCUGUGAAGGUGCUGCAUGGUUGUCGUCAGCUCGUGCCGUGAGGUGUCGGCUUAAGUGCCAUAACGAGCGCAACCCUUGUUGUCAGUUACUAACAGGUUCCGCUGAGGACUCUGACAAGACUGCCAUCGUAAGAUGUGAGGAAGGUGGGGAUGACGUCAAAUCAGCACGGCCCUUACGUCCGGGGCUACACACGUGUUACAAUGGGGGGUACAGAGGGCCGCUACCACGCGAGUGGAUGCCAAUCCCAAAAACCUCUCUCAGUUCGGACUGGAGUCUGCAACCCGACUCCACGAAGCUGGAUUCGCUAGUAAUCGCGCAUCAGCCACGGCGCGGUGAAUACGUUCCCGGGCCUUGUACACACCGCCCGUCAAGCCAUGGGAGCCGGGGGUACCUGAAGUGCGUAACCGCGAGGAGCGCCCUAGGGUAAAACUGGUGACUGGGGCUAAG